CUUAGUAUGAAAACUCUAAUAAAAAAGAGGCUAAAUUACAGAAAACCCUCCUGUAAUAAUCCGUUUUUUUACUUUCCCUCCCUGACAUUUAAAAAUCUACACUUUGCCUCCUUGUAAAAUAAAAAAUGUACACUUCAUCCCCUACCGUUAGGGUUCCGUUGUAAAAUAUUUUUUUAUGCCGAAAAUACCCCUCCGCCAUCUGCCUUGUUGCUUCGCCUCCCUCCGACUCGCCGCCUCGCCGCCGCCUCGCCACCUUGCCAUCCUCCACUGCCUCGUCCUCACCCACAUCCUCUUCGCCCUCCUCCGGCGCCUCGCCUUCGCCCUCAUUGCCCUUGCCUACCUUUCCAUCAACACCCACCUCGAUUUCCUCCCUACUAUCGUCGAAAUCGACGGGCGGCGAGGGUGCAGGAGGAAAAGGAGAGCAGGUGGAGAAGGAAAUGGAGAGAAAUCGCGGCCGAUUGAGGUGGGAAUCGCGGCCGAUCGAAGGGACGGCUGAGGAAGAUGAGGAAGAAGACGAAAAUGGCGAGAGGCAAAAUGGUCAUUUAACACACCGUAACGCCCUGUGAAUAUUUUUCAUUUUACGAAGGGACAAAGUAUAGAUUUUUAAAUGUCGGGAGGGAAAGUGAAAAAGCGGGUUAUUACAUAGGGGUUUUCUGUAAUUUAGCCUA
rnacentral:lncRNA from 1 species